CGGGGAGUAGCUCAGCCUGGCUAGAGCGCUGCGUUUGGGACGCAGAAGUCGCAGGUUCAAAUCCUGUCUCCCCGA
rnacentral:tRNA from 6 species